rnacentral:tRNA from 1 species
GGAGGGCUCGCCUAGUGGCCGAUGGCGGCGGUCUUGAAAACCGCUACAGGGUGACCUGUCGAGGGUUCGAAUCCCUCGCCCUCCGCAA